rnacentral:rRNA from 1 species
GACGAACGCUGGCGGCGUGCCUAAUACAUGCAAGUAGAACGCUGAAGAGAGGAGCUUGCUCUUCUUGGAUGAGUUGCGAACGGGUGAGUAACGCGUAGGUAACCUGCCUUGUAGCGGGGGAUAACUAUUGGAAACGAUAGCUAAUACCGCAUAACAAUGGAUGACACAUGUCAUUUAUUUGAAAGGGGCAAUUGCUCCACUACAAGAUGGACCUGCGUUGUAUUAGCUAGUAGGUGAGGUAAUGGCUCACCUAGGCGACGAUACAUAGCCGACCUGAGAGGGUGAUCCGCCACACUGGGACUGAGACACGGCCCAGACUCCUACGGGAGGCAGCAGUAGGGAAUCUUCGGCAAUGGGGGCAACGCUGACCGAGCAACGCCGCGUGAGUGGAGAAGGUUUUCGGAUCGGAAAGCUCUGUUGUAAGUGAAGAACGGGUGUGAGAGUGGAAAGUUCACACUGUGACGGUAGCUUACCAGAAAGGGACGGCUAACUACGUG